rnacentral:lncRNA from 1 species
AACAUUUAUAUGUACAUUUGUUUAACUGUGUUUUUAUUUUGUAGCUUUUUAUUGGUCAUGUUAUUUAAAACUAAAAUCAUGCUUGUUUGCUACACUGUUUGAAAGGGAAAGAAAAAAUUACAACACUUCUGCUAACAUGAUUUUUUUUGAAAAUGAGCUAUUUACCAUUUUUUACUUAAAUGUUUCUUCCUUUCAAUUUGUCCUCCUCCAUGAAACCGUGUCAUUCUUUCAUGAACUUUUCGUUAAAAAGUGGUUGAGAGCAUGCUUGGCUAAGCUUAAGAAGUACAUAAGUUCAAAAUAACUUCUUCUUUUUUGUUGAUUGAAGUUGGAAAUAAGGAAGUUACUUAAAUUUCACAACAACACAAGACAGAUUUGAAAUAAGAACUUUUGUUACUUAAGAAGUGAGAAAAAGUAACAUAUCCCAACAUCUUUGAAAACUAAAAUUAAUUAAAAGUAACUAUUGCUUAAUUUAAGCUUAGCCAAGCAUGCUCUAAAAGUCGUGACUACAUUGCAUUUCUUGCCUUGAUAAN